rnacentral:tRNA from 1 species
GCGCCCAUAGCUCAACUGGAUAGAGUACCUGGCUACGAACCAGGCGGUUAGGGGUUCGACUCCCUUUGGGCGCGCCA